AUUGAACGCUGGCGGCAGGCCUAACACAUGCAAGUCGACCGAGUGGCGGACGGGUGAGUAAUGUCUGUGAAACUGCCCCAUGGCGGGGGAUAACUACUUUAAACACUACCUAAUACCGCAUACCCUCGUGUUUGCCCAGAUGGGAUUAGCUAGUAGGUGGGGUAAAGGCUCACCAAGGCGACGAUCCCUAGCUGGUCUGAGAGGAGGACCAGCCACACUGGAACUGAGACACGGUCCAGACUCCUACGGGAGGCAGCAGUGGGGAAUAUUGCACAAUGGGCGAAAGCCUGAUGCAGCCAUGCCGCGUGUAUGAAGAAGGCCUUAGGGUUGUAAAGUACUUUCAGCGGGGAGGCGUUACCCGCAGAAGAAGCACCGGCUAACUCCGUGCCAGCAGCCGCGGUAAUAC
rnacentral:rRNA from 1 species